rnacentral:rRNA from 1 species
UACAGAGGGGAGCGAGCGUUGUUCGGAAUUACUGGGCGUAAAGUGUGCGCAGGUGGCCGCGCAAGUCGAGUGUGAAAUCCCCCGAGCUUAACUUGGGAAUUGCGCUCGAAACUACGUGGCUCGAGUGUGGCAGAGGAAGGUGGAAUUCCACGUGUAGCGGUGAAAUGCGUAGAGAUGUGGAGGAACACCGAUGGCGAAGGCAGCCUUCUGGGCCAACACUGACGCUCAUGCACGAAGACGUGGGGAGCAAACAGG